UACAGAGGUCUCAAGCGUUGUUCGGAUUCAUUGGGCGUAAAGGGUGCGUAGGCGGCAGCGCAAGUCAGGUGUGAAAUCCCGGGGCUCAACCCCGGAACUGCACUUGAUACUGCGUUGCUUGAGUACUGGAGAGGAGACUGGAAUUUACGGUGUAGCAGUGAAAUGCGUAGAUAUCGUAAGGAAGACCAGUGGCGAAGGCGAGUCUCUGGACAGUUACUGACGCUGAGGCACGAAGGCCAGGGGAGCAAACGGG
rnacentral:rRNA from 1 species